rnacentral:lncRNA from 10 species
CUGGAAUGCAAUGGCAUGAACACAGCUCACUGCAGCCACAACUUCCCGUGAUCAAUCAAGUGAUUCUCCUACCUCAGCCUCCCGAGCAGCUGGGACUACAGCUUCUUCAGAUUCUACAGAGACCAUGACUGUGGGCAAGUCAAAAAAUCUCAGUGUUUCUGUCUCUGAUCUCAUCCAAGACACCACAUUACAUUUAGUCAUGAUGUCUCCUUACGGCUCUCUACACUGUGACAGUUUCUCAGAAUUUCCUUGUUUUUGAUGACUUUGAGAGUUUUGAAAAGCAGCAGUCAUGUAUUUUGUAGAAUGUCCUUCAAUUUGUGAUUUUCUGAUGUUAAACAAGUGUUAUGGGUUUCUGGGAGGAAGACUACAGAGGUAAAGUGUCAUUCUCAUCAUAUCAUAUCAAAGAUACAUGCUAACAUCAUAACUUAUCAUUGAUGGUGUUAAUCUUGGCCACCUGUCAAUAUCCUCUGCUUUAAAGUUAUUUUCCCCCCUCUCUCUUUUACAUAUUGUACUGUUUAGAAGAAAGUCAACAUGCAAAGCCCAUACUUGUAGAAUGGGAAGUUAAGAUCCACCUUCUUGAGGGAAGAAUAUCUAUAUAAUUAUUUGGAAUUCUCGUGUAAAAAGAUUUUUCUAUUCUCUCCUCUUCAUUUAUUCAAUAUUAGUUUGUGUUACUAUGAACUCAUGCGUAUUUAUUUUAUAAUUUGGGUUAUAAUCCAAUUCUACAAUAUUUAUUUUGUUGUUGAAAUUGUUCUACCUUUUGCCAUUGUGAGCUCUUUCUGUUGGCUGCUAGGUUCCUCUCAAAUACCCCUUUUUGUUGUUUGUUUAUUGUAGAGUUUUGUUCUAUUUUGUUUUGUUUGAGCACUUCUUUACUUGCUGGCUCAUCUUGUAUCCAUGCACCAACUCUAGAAUCAGGCAUUUCUUCAAAGAGCCCUAGUUGCUUUUAUUAGAGAAUGGAAUUAGAAACCAAAAUCUGAGCACUGAGAGUGCUUGCUGCUUCUGGGGUAUCAUUACUUCUAGGCUUUCUUAGUGGACAGAGCUAAGAAAUAUUUGUAUGUAUACUAACUUGUAUAUACAAACAUAUCUAUACAUCUAUGUUCAUCUAUAUCUCUAUUAAGCUAAACAUGAGUUUAUAUUAAUGUUUUUGACACUUGUUCAAUACCACAUAAAUAAUUCUAGCUUCCCUUCUUGCUUUCUGUAAUCUCCCACUCCAACAAUGGUGAGUUCCUACCAUCUGCCCUCCAAUUACUUACAUGUUCAAUCCCAGUAUGCAUGUACAAUGAUUCAGAAUUAUUAACCAAUACCCCCAUGGGAAGUGACUAUAAACUAGAGUGUUUAUUUGCAGUUCCUUUUGUCUUUAAUCUUAUAGCCUCUACUCAUUUUCAAUAUUAUUUAGGUAUAUACCCUUUCCUCCCACUCCUUCUGGAGGGUUAUAUUAUACAUUUGUAAGGCAGUUUGAUUCUUUUGUUACAGUCUGUAUUCCAUUGUAGGAUCCUCGUAUUUCUUAAUUGUGAUUUUAAAAAACCUCCCACAUUUUAAGUCUCACUUUUUGUGUUGUAAUAUUCUUUGGGUUUUAGUAAAGGCAUGGUGCUAUGUAUCCACCAUUAUAGUAUCUAUACAGAAUAGUUUUACCAUCCUAAAAAUAUUCAUUAUGCUUCACCUAUUCAACUCUCCCUUCUCUUCAAGGCCCUGCUACCGACCAUUGAUUUGUUUUCUGUUUCUAUAGUUUUGCCUUUCUCUAGACUGUCAUAUAAGUAGAAUCAGACAGGAUAUAGUCUUUUCAGACUGGUUUAUUUGACUUAGCAAUAAGUAUUUAAGAUUCAUCAAUCUUGUUGCAUGGAUUCAUAGCUCAUUUUUUUAUUGCUGAAUAAUAUUCCAUUAUAUGGACAUGCUAUUGUUUAUUUAUCUGUUCACCACUUAAAAGACAUCUUGGUUGCUUCUAGUCUUCUGCAUUGAUGAUUCAGCUGCUAGAAACUUUUGAGUGGAGAUUUUUGUGUGAAGAUAAAUUUUCAGUUCAUUUGGGUAAAUACCAAGGAACACAACUGCUUGAUGAUAUGGUAAGAGUAUGUUUAGUUUUAUGCGAAAUUGUCAAACUAUAUUCCAAACUGGAUGUACCAUUGUGCAUCCCCACCAGCAAGGAAUGAGAGUUCCUAUUUCUCCACAUCUUUGCCAGCAAUUGGUAUUAUCAGGUUUUUUUAGCCAUUUAAAUGCAUAUGUAGUACUAUCUCAUUUUUAAUUUGUAUUUUCCUAAUGACAUAUGAAACUGAGCAUCAUUUCAUAUGCUUAUUAUAUGCCAUCUGUAUAUCUUUUUUGAUGAAGUGUUUGUUCCUAUGUUUUGUUCAUUUUUCACUGGGUUGGUGAUAUGGUUUGGCUGUGUCCCCACCCAAAUCUCAUCUUGAAUUGUAACUCCCACAGUUCCCACAUGUCAUGGGAGGAACCCAAUGGGAGGUGAUUGAAUUAAGGGGGUGGGUCUUUCCUGCACUGUUUUCUUGAUAGUGAAUGAGUCUCACAAGGUCUGAUGGUUUUAAAAGCGGGAGUUUCCCUGCACAAGCUCUCUAUUUUGCAUGCCACCAUCCACAUGAGAUAUGACUUGCUCAUCCUUGCCUUCUGGCAUGAUGGUGAGGCCUCCCCAGCCAUGUGGAACUGUAAGUCCAUUAAACCUCUUUUUCUUCCAAGUCUCAGGUAUGUCUUUAUCAGCAGCAUGAAAAUGGACUAAUACAGUAAAUUGGUACCAGUAGAAUGGGGUGCUGCUGUAGACACCCGAAAAUGUGGAAGCAACUUUGGAACUGGAUAACAGACAGAGGUUGGAAGAGUUUGGAGGGCUCAGAAGAAGACAGGAAAAUGUGGGAAAGUUUGGAACUCCCUAGAGACUUUUUGCAUGGCUUUGACCAAAAUGCUGAGAGCGAUACGGACAAUACAGUCUAGGCUGAGGUAGUCUCAGAUGGAAAUGAAGGGCUCGUUGGGAACUGGAGCAAAGGUGACUCUUGUUUUAGCAAAAAGAGUGGUGACAUUUUGCCUCUGCCUUAGAGAUUCGUGGAACUUGAACUUGAGAGAGAUUUAGGGUAUCUGGCAGAAGAAAUUUCUAAGCAACGAAGCAUUCAAGAGGUGACUUGGGUGCUGUUAAAGGCAUUCAGUUUUAUAAGGGAAGCAGAGCAUAAAAGAUUGGAAAAUUUACCACCUGACAAUGCAAUAGAAAAGAAAAUCCCAUUUUCUGAAAUGAAAUUCAAGCUGGCUGCAGAAAUGUGGAUAAGUAAUGAGAAGCCAAAUAUUAAUCACCAAGACAAUGGGGAAAAUGUCUACAGAGCAUGUCAGAGGUCUUCAUGGCAGCCCCUCGCAUCACAAGCCUGGAGGCCUAGGAGGUGAAUGUGGUUUUGUGGGCUGGGCCCAGGGUCCCGGUGUUGUGUGCAGUCUAGGUAUUUUGUGCCCUGCAUCCCAGCCACUCCAGCCGUGACUAAAAGGGAUGAAGGUACAGCUCAAGCUAUGGCUUCAGAGGGUGGAAGCCCCAAGCCUUGGCAGCUUCCAUGUGGUAUUGAGCCUGUGAGUGCACAGAUGUCAAGAACUGAGGUAUGAGAACCUCCCCCUAGAUUUUAGAGGAUGUAUGGUAACGCCUGGAUGCCCAGCCAGAAGUUUGCUGCAGGGGCAGGGCCAUCAUGGAGAAGCUCUGCUAGGGCAAUGCAGAAGGGAAAUGUGGGGUGGGAGCCCCCACACAGAGUCCCUACUGGGGCACUGCCUAGUGGAGCCUUGAGAAGAGGACCACCAUCCUCCAGACCCCAGAAUGGUAGAUCCACUGACAGCUUGCACCAUGUGCCAGGAAAAGCCAUAGACACUCACUGCCAACCCAUGAAAGCAGCCAGGAGGGAGGCUAUACCCUGAAAAGCCACAGGGGUGGAGCUGUCCAAGACCAUGGGAACCCACCUCUUGCAUCAGUGUGACCCGGAUGCAAGAUACGGAGUGAAAAGAGAUCAUUUUUGAGUUUUAAAAUUUGACUGCCCUGCUGGAUUUUGGACUUGCAUGGGGCCUGUAGCCCCUUUGUUUUGGCCAAUUUCUCCCAUUUGGAUCAACUGUAUUUACCCAAUGCCUGUACCCCCAUUGUAUCUAGGAAGUAACUAACUUGCUUUUGAUUUUACAGGCUCAUAGGCAGAAGGGACUUGCCUUGUCUCAGAUGAGACAUUGGACUGUGGACUUUUGAGUUAAUGCUGAAAUGACUUAAGACUUGUGGGGAUUGUUGGGAAGGCAUAAUUGGUUUUGAAAUGUGAGGACAUGAGAUUUAGAAGAGACCAGGGGUGGAAUGAUAUAGUUUGGCUGUGUCUCCACCCAAAUCUCAUCUUGAAUUGUAACUCCCACAAUUCCAUGUCAUGAGAGGAACCCAGUGGGAGGUGAUUGACUUAUGGGAGCAGUUCUUUCCUGUGCUGUUCUUGUAAUAGUGAAUGCGUCUCAAGAGAUCUGAUGGUUUUAAAAAUGGGAGUUUCCCUGAACAACCUCUCUUGUUUGCGUGCUGCCAUCCAUGUGAGAUAUGACUUGCUCAUCCUUGCCUUCCACCAUGAUUGUGAGGCCUCCCCAGCCAUGUGAAAUGUAAGUCCAUUAAACCUCUUUUUCUUCCCAGUCUUGGGUAUGUCUUUAUCAGCAGGGUGAAAACAGAGUAAUACAGUUGGGUUUUUUUUACUGUGAAAUUUAUGAAUUGUAUAUGUACUUUGGAUAAAAGUCCGUUAUGAUCUAUUUGAUUUGCAAACAAUUUUCUCCCAGCCUGUGGUUUGUCUUAUCAUUCACUUAACAUUUUAUUUCACAAAGCAAAAAUUUUUAAAAAGUCCAAUUCUACCAAUUUCUAAUUUUAUGGAUUGUGCUUUUGGUGUAUCUAAAAUUCCAUUACCAAAGCCAAGAUCACACAGAUUUUUUCCUGAUGUUUUUCAAAAAGUUUCUUACUUUUGCAUUUUAACUUUAGGCCCAUGAUCCAUUUUGAGUUAAUUUUUGAGUAAGAUGUAAGGUCUGUGUCUAUGCUCUCUCUCUCUCUCUUUUUUUUUGCAUAUGGAUGUUCAAUUUUUCCAUCAACAUUUAUUGAAAAGAGAAUUCUUUCUUCAUUGAAUUGCCUUUGUAUUUUUGUAAAAAAUCAGUUGAUUAUAUUAGUGUGGUUCUAUUUCUGAGCUCUGUAUUCCAUUUUAUUUAUCAGUGUACUUGAUUGUGAUAGCUCUAUACUUAUGCUUGAAAUCAGGUAAUGUGAGUCCUUCACUUUUUUUUUUUCCAGAGUUGGGCUGGCUGUUUUAAAUCCUCUGUUCUUCAAUAUAAAUUAUAGAAUAAAUUAGCUGAUAUCUACAAAAAAGAUUGCUGGGAUUUUGAUUAAGAUUGGAUUGAAUCUAUACAUCGAAUUACAAAUAACUGAUAUCUUUACAAUACUGAAUGUUCCAAUGCAUGCAUAUGAAAUUCAUUUAUUUAUUUUUUUUUACUUCUUUCUUCCCUGUUUUGAGGCUUUCUGUGUAUAGAUUCUGUAAAUAUUUUGUUAGAUUUAUACUUUUCUGAUGCUACUGUAAAUGUUUUUUGUUGUUGUAGUUUAAUUUCAAAGUCUAGUAGUUCGUUGAUGGCAAACAGAAAGGCAGUUUGCUUUUAUAUAUUGACCUUGUAUCCUGCAGUGUUGCAGGAUACAUGCCUAUUGGUGCCAGGAAGUUUUCUUUUCUUUUUUUUUUUUUUUUUUUUUGUAGAUUCUUAGGAAUUUUCUAUAUAGACAAUGAUGUCAUCUGUAAGUAUAGACAGUUUUAUUUCUUGCCUUCCAAUCUGUAUAAACUUUUUUUGAGACGGAGUUUCACUCUUGUCACCAGACUGGAGUGCAAUGGCGCAAUCUGGGCUCACUGAAACCUCCACCUCCUGGGUUCAAGUGACUCUCCUGCUUCAGCUUCCCGAGUAGCUGGGAUUACAGGUGUG